UGCACAGUGAGAAUCGUGAAGGGAGC
rnacentral:piRNA from 1 species